UGACCAUCUACUAGAAGCUUGGGAAGCCUAGACAUUCCGGUGGCAGAGUGUGUGUGUACCUGGUCGUGUAGUAACCAUAGCCCUCCAAUUGUCAGGCACAGAGCAAAGACCUUGACACGGGUCAUCUCCUGUCAUCCUCACAGCAGGACCACGAGGCACAGGGAGGACUGCACUUUCUCCCCCCUUCAAAGUUGGGCAUGGCCAUGUGACUUGUUUUAACCAAUUACAUGUGAGUAUAAGUCUUAGGCGCCGCAUCUGGGCCAAAGCCUUGUUGCCGGGCCUCCCCGCGUGCUCUCUUCCCCCACGUGCUCUCUUCCCCCUGCAU